rnacentral:misc_RNA from 1 species
UUAUACUCCGCGUGAGGGAUAGUAGCGGAAAGCCCGGAGCGUGGGCAGGGGUGUGCGAAUGGCUGCGAGGACUUGUAGCGGAUAGCCCGACCCGUA